AUUGAACGCUGGCGGCAGGCUUAACACAUGCAAGUCGAGCGGUAGCACAGGGGAGCUUGCUCCCUGGGUGACGAGCGGCGGACGGGUGAGUAAUGUCUGGGGAACUGCCUGAUGGAGGGGGAUAACUACUGGAAACGGUAGCUAAUACCGCAUAACGUCGCAAGACCAAAGAGGGGGACCUUCGGGCCUCUUGCCAUCAGAUGUGCCCAGAUGGGAUUAGCUAGUAGGUGGGGUAAUGGCUCACCUAGGCGACGAUCCCUAGCUGGUCUGAGAGGAUGACCAGCCACACUGGAACUGAGACACGGUCCAGACUCCUACGGGAGGCAGCAGUGGGGAAUAUUGCACAAUGGGCGCAAGCCUGAUGCAGCCAUGCCGCGUGUGUGAAGAAGGCCUUCGGGUUGUAAAGCACUUUCAGCGAGGAGGAAGGUGGUGAGCUUAAUACGUUCAUCAAUUGACGUUACUCGCAGAAGAAGCACCGGCUAACUCCGUG
rnacentral:rRNA from 1 species